rnacentral:misc_RNA from 1 species
CAUUUGUACUCUCAAGCUAUGCUUGGUAUUGGGUGCUUGUCCUCUCCUUUGCAGUGGACUCACCUCAAAUUCAUUGGCAGCCAAUGUAUUGGUCUUGAAGCGCAGCACAUUUUGCGUCUCUAGCUGAUAAUCAUUAGCGUCCAUUAAGUCUACUUAACACUUUUGACCUCGGAUCAAGUAGGGAUACCCGCUGAACUUAA